rnacentral:rRNA from 1 species
CCCGGUUACUUUCCGAACCCGGUCGUUAAGUCUCCUUGCGCUGAUGGUACUGCCCUGUGGUGGGGUGGGAGAGUAGGUUGCUGCCACGG